CCAGCAAACAGUUUAAGCGAUAACCCCAAAGACAAACUUUAUAUAAACUAUAAACAUAAAUAGAUGAUAAGCAAUAUCUACCCCAGGGCUACGCAACACUUCUGAGAAAUAAAAUUGAAGCUUAUGAAAUAAUAUAUCUGAAUUCCCAAAACAAAGCCUUCAACAAGUAGCGAAUGAUCUCCAACAGACAUUCAUAUAUUCUCUAAUUUCUUCCCUUCUUUGAAUCACUCCAAAUAAUUCAAAUUAAUUAGCCACCAAGUUUGAGCAUCUCAUAAACUCAUACACUUAUAAAGGCAAUGUAAGUCAAGAUAACCUUCCAUGCCUAAAAUUUUAUUUUCAUCUUUGUCAGACUUAGUAGCUGGAUUCAAUUCAAGAAUAAUAAAAAAGAAAAAGGAUAUUAGAGGUUUUUAACCUAUAAGGCAAGCCAAAAGUGGUAUUAGAUGGUGCUUUCAACCUG
rnacentral:lncRNA from 1 species